GGCAGGAGAAUCGCUUGAACCCGGGAGGCAGAGGUUGCAGUGAACUGAGAUUGUGCCACUGCACUCCAGACUGGGUGACACAGCGAGACUUCAUCUCAAAAAAAAAAAGAAAAGAAAAGCAAUUGUACUUCACUAUGCCAUAUGUAUGUAUUCACUGACCAAAAAUUCACUGACCAACCAACCAAACUCCACACUUCAUCUGAUCCCCCAUAGACUUGGGGAUGGACAGCUGUUCUUUGGCCAUAUGGUAUAAGAGGAUCAUUCUUGUCACUACUUAAGUUAGCCUCAUCAUUUUGUGCUGCUCCAACACCAGCAGGGUAUCUCCCAAUAAAGUGUUCCUAAGCAGCCUGUAUACUGAGUGCAAGCAGGCUAUCAAUUUUAAUAAUAGUCCAUACCAUGUAUGUGUUUCUGUCAGCAGAAUGUACAUGUUGUACAAAACCUCCAGGUUCCUUAAGCUUUUUGCUGUCCAUGAAUCCUCUGUGGCAACUGUAAUCACAGAGCCAGAAGCCAGAGGGCCAGGGAUAUGAGAGGCUGACAAACAUCAGGGGACAUCUGGGGAGGAGAUCCCUGUCAUGUCUCUUGUGCCAUGGAGCUAUUAUGGCUGGUCUUCCAUUUGCUUUUUCUUUAAGUGAAAACCAUUUUUCUACUUUGCUUUUCUCUCCAUACUUAAAUGGUCAGUAGCUACUGAGUGGUGCUUUAUCUGAAUAGGCCUGGAUCGAAGUAAAAUAGAAAUGGGACUGGCUUUCCACAGGAAGUAAACUGCUUCAGAGCCCACAGUCCCCUGCUCAGUGUCCGGAAAGAAGUCAGUCAUCCCUGUUGGCAGUAAAUCUUCCCACAGGCCGUCCAUUAGAGAUUUAACUAGAUAUGUUCAAUAGAAAGAGUCUGAGGCAAGUGGAAAUGAGGAACGGAAACUUAGGUUGGGAGAAUAUUUUUUUUUUAUUCAUUCUGUUUGCUUAAUUCAGAGUACAGUUUGUGCUAUUUCAUAUCUGUACUCCAGGCAGAAAUAUAACUUGAAAAUACUGUGUCUAAAGAAAUUUCAGUGUUCUAUCAUUAAAUUAUUUAC
rnacentral:lncRNA from 1 species